rnacentral:lncRNA from 1 species
GGGCGGCUUCGGCGGGGGGCGGCCCGGAGCGGCGGCGCGGCGCUGAGCUGAGCUGAGCUCCUGCCGGGCCCUCGUCGUGUGUCCGCAGAACCAACCGAGGAGGAAAGCGGGCGAAAUGAAAGCGAAACCUCUCGUGUCUGAGCGCUGUGCGGUUCUCGUGGCCCCCGGUCGGGUGCAGCGCUGCUUUGCGAGGUUGCUAAAAAGGCCUCGUAUUUGCUGCUUCUGGGGUGUUUGGUUUCUAAUGGGAGCUCCAAGCGUUGCAUUGCUGUUUAGCAAUGAAAACAGCGAAGCGUUGUUACCCCUGGGUCAGGUGCUCCUUGUUGCAGCCGGGAAGCACUGCGGGUAUUUCCACCAUAAGCACUUCAAAGACAACACCAUUCCUCCAUUACAUGUCUCUCCUCCUGCCUAGCAUCCUUCUCGCAUCGUGACAGUCCCACCAGCUGUUCCUCCAUCCAGUGGCCUUCCUCACUCACCCUCUGUAUGGGCUGUCUUCACUGAUGCAUGCUCGGUAGGAGGAUGCCAAGUCUAUUUCUAAAAACAUGCUAUAAAAUACAUCGUGGCCUUCUUCUUCAAAUCAACAUGGAGCUUCCUCAAGAACCUGCCCUAAAAUCAGGUACCGGCGCUGGGUGGGAGCGGGUGGGAUCCCGGUGCUGGCUGCUGCCCAUGGCUGUUAGCUGAAACCAUCCCGGCCUGGCCGUGCUGCCCUGCUGCCAGCACGCGGCGAUUGGGUUACUGUGCUGGGAUAGUUUGCUGCAGGAACUCAGCCAGGUGCUGCUGCCGGGUAACUGAUCCAAAGCUCCGCGGCGCUGUGAUGGUUUUGCCAGCUGAUCCUCCGGGCACACAGGUCCCGGACAGCAGCACACCGAGCUGGGGUCUGAGUGCAGCCUGGGGCGGCAAUCUGCAGCCCUGCACUGCACUCCUGGGCCGUCACCAAGAGCCGUUUUUGUCCUCCUGAUCAUAGCACGCAUUCUGCACAGCUCUGGGUACAGCUGUGGGUUUGGGAUGUUGGAAGGAACCGUACAUGUUUGGUGCAAUGCUGUGCUUGCCUGGGACCCUUGGGGCUGUGCCACGUCUGCACAGCAGAUCUGCACCCUGCUCUGCUCCCAGGCCUCCUGGGCUGUGCUGGGAGAAAGACAGCAGCAGAGCAUUCAGCCACAGGUUGCAGCCAUGCCGACGACCAACCAAGGCUGGCCAGAGGCGUUUGGCUUCUCUCUGGGUGGCAGCGGGCCCUGCUACGUGCUGUGGGUGCAGGAGGGCAGCAGUGCAGCAGCGGCAGGGCUGCGACCGGGCGACGAGGUGCUGGAGC